rnacentral:rRNA from 1 species
AGAGUUUGAUCCUGGCUCAGGAUGAACGCUGGCGGCGUGCUUAACACAUGCAAGUCGAACGAUCCUUCGGGAUAGUGGCGGACGGGUGAGUAACGCGUGGGAAUCUGCCCUUAGGAGGGGGAUAACGGCUGGAAACGGCCGCUAAUACCCCAUAUGCCGAGAGGUGAAACGAAUUUCGCCUGAGGAUGAGCCCGCGUCUGAUUAGCUAGUUGGUGGGGUAAAGGCCUACCAAGGCGACGAUCAGUAGCUGGUCUGAGAGGAUGAUCAGCCACACUGGGACUGAGACACGGCCCAGACUCCUACGGGAGGCAGCAGUGGGGAAUUUUCCGCAAUGGGCGAAAGCCUGACGGAGCAACGCCGCGUGAGGGAUGAAGGCCUCUGGGCUGUAAACCUCUUUUCUCAAGGAAGAAGAACUGACGGUACUUGAGGAAUAAGCCACGGCUAAUUCCGUGCCAGCAGCCGCGGUAAUACGGGAGUGGCAAGCGUUAUCCGGAAUUAUUGGGCGUAAAGCGUCCGCAGGCGGCCUUGUAAGUCUGUUGUUAAAGCGUGGAGCUCAACUCCAUUUAAGCAAUGGAAACUACAAGGCUGGAGUGUGGUAGGGGCAGAGGGAAUUCCCGGUGUAGCGGUGAAAUGCGUAGAUAUCGGGAAGAACACCAGUGGCGAAGGCGCUCUGCUGGGCCAUAACUGACGCUCAUGGACGAAAGCCAGGGGAGCGAAAGGGAUUAGAUACCCCUGUAGUCCUGGCCGUAAACGAUGAACACUAGGUGUCGGGGGAAUCGACCCCCUCGGUGUCGUAGCCAACGCGUUAAGUGUUCCGCCUGGGGAGUACGCACGCAAGUGUGAAACUCAAAGGAAUUGACGGGGGCCCGCACAAGCGGUGGAGUAUGUGGUUUAAUUCGAUGCAACGCGAAGAACCUUACCAGGGUUUGACAUCCUGCGAAUCCCUUGGAAACGAGGGAGUGCCUUCGGGAGCGCAGUGACAGGUGGUGCAUGGCUGUCGUCAGCUCGUGUCGUGAGAUGUUGGGUUAAGUCCCGCAACGAGCGCAACCCACGUCUUUAGUUGCCAGCAUUCAGUUGGGCACUCUAGAGAGACCGCCGGUGAUAAACCGGAGGAAGGUGUGGAUGACGUCAAGUCAUCAUGCCCCUUACAUCCUGGGCUACACACGUACUACAAUGCUACGGACAAAGGGCAGCAAGCUCGCGAGAGUUAGCAAAUCCCAUAAACCGUGGCUCAGUUCAGAUCGUAGGCUGCAACUCGCCUACGUGAAGGAGGAAUCGCUAGUAAUCGCAGGUCAGCAUACUGCGGUGAAUACGCUCCCGGGCCUUGUACACACCGCCCGUCACACCAUGGAAGUUGGCCAUGCCCGAAGUCGUUACUCCAACCCUUGUGGAGGAGGACGCCGAAGGUGGGGCUGAUGACUGGGGUGAAGUCGGAACAAGGUA